AUUGUCACAUCUACCGUCUUUCGCCUCAUCUACUUUUGUAGUUGAAAAUCUGUUUUUACGGCCUUUGAACAGAUCUAUUCUCUUCAUUUUCCCUCUUUCUGUUUUAUUUUGUAACCAAGUUGUACCCCUUUUUCCUUUUCGUCGUCACAGGUUCGUAAUAAGAAUCACAUAUUAUGCUGGGCAUGCCAGAAUUAUUAUUGUUACCUUUGUAGAAAGAUGUCCGGUUUGAGCCGAGGGUCUAUCGAAAACAGCCUCUCAGUGCAGAAAGAUAGUGAAGUGAAGCUCCCAGCAUUAUGGACCUAAGGGCUGCAAACAACACACUGCUGAAUAAUUGGAAAGAACGUUUCAAUUCAAGGGGAUCUUCCCGAAAUCUUUAUUGUUCUUGUUCAUUGAAGUCCAUGUUCCUCGUACAUUCUUAUGCCAAAGGUUGAUGUUUAGGAUCCUAGCUUGUCGCCUGAGGAAGGUCGUCUCGUGUGAUAUAUUACAUAUUCAAAGCUAUUGUAAGUACAAAUUGUAGUAGCGUACACAUGAUUUUGUGCAAGUGAGUUCAUCCAAAAACUGAGGCAGAAUUAGCCAUCUUGACAGCAGGAACGAUUCCGGCACAAGCAGAUUUUAACCACAGUUGUUUUUCCUUCCCAAAGGUAAAAGAGUGUUGUUGAGAGUACUUAUAGUUGCAUAAGUUUUAUCA